UGAAUGCACUUUGUAAAUUUCUCUGUAAGUAUGUAAGUUGUCAUGGCAAUGUGCAAUGUAUUAGCUAACAAUGCAUAUUCCUUCUAAGUACCCAAAAGAAUUCUUACUCCUCAAUCUCUGUGAAAGUCUCAAUGUUAUACGUUCAAAUCAACAUCUCUCCUCUGAAAAAGCAGAUCGGCAGGUGGGGAUUUUCUCACUAGGCUGUGAACCCCUCGUGGGUAGGUGCAGUCUAUGCAUCUCUAGCAAACAGAACCUAGUAAAGCAUCUGGAAUGAAUGAACCCAUCCAUCGAUCAGCAACUACUCGCCCCAUCUUGCAAAUCAAUCCACUUGAUUCUCACAAGAGCACUGUAAGAUGUAAAGGAUUGGUCAUGUACCACGUUUGCAGAUAUAUGGACAUGGAGGGCAAGGAAAUCAAGUGACUUUCAAGUUCAUGAAGCUAAUUAAACAGCAAGGCAAGGACUUGACCCCAUGUCUUCCUGCUGCAGAUCCAGAGCACUUUUCUCUCUAUUCUAAGUACUUACAAGCCAGGAAAAUGAUACCAAGUCCUCUGUACUCUCCAGUGACUUUCCUUUCUUUCUCGCAGGGUUUUGGAGUCAAACUCAAUAGAGAUAUACACUGUAAAUUACAGUUCAAGAUUUCGGUCUGUGGCUAUUCGAUACAAUGUAGUACAAGGAUCUCACGUGUAAAACAGCAACUUUAA